rnacentral:misc_RNA from 1 species
AAGGUGUGCAACACUACAGAUUUAACCUCUUGGUAAGAGCUGAAGACAUAGCCACAUGAAAGGAGGGCAAAUGUAGUAACCAAGCUAGGAUUUCUUUUUGCAAUCAUUAUGCUAAGACCAGUUCCCAGCAAAUCUGCAAGAUUGCUAACACAUUCUCCCUUAGCAGUGACGUCCCCAAUGUUUUCUCCUUUAGCAAAGGCUUUGUAA